GCCUCCCAAAGUGCUGGGAUUACAGGCUUGAGCCACCGCGCCCGGCCGAACCACACACUUUAAAAUGUAACUGGAUUUGCUGUAUAGGCCAGAGAAAUAUGGCUGUUAUGAUGAAGGCAUAACUUGUCUGGUUCUUGAUUGUUUAUACCAUUAGAGGAGAAUGCAAAUAUGAAUAGCUCAGAUUAGUUUAACUCUGUAGUUUUCUACUUUUUCUCAUGUCCAGUGUUCAGUUUCUUAUAAACCCAGCAUGAAGAGAAACAAAAAAUAGUUCUCCAGAUCAUGAGGUUGUCUUCAACCUAAGCACAGAGGUAUAAUAAUUACAUUUCUCAGAAGUUCCCCCUCUGUUUAGAGUCUCAAGGGCAAUUGAGAUGUCAGUGAGGCUGUGAUUAAAUGUAUUGGAUAUUGGAGGAUUUUAAAUACAAACAAGUAUUAUAGGUGUUACCACUGACCCUGAAGGUAAGAUUUACUAUGAAAAUUUAUAAUGCAAGGAGGAAUGAUCAUUUUCAAAAUACACACUUUGCAACUUAAGUUGGCUGUCACAACAACAAAAUACUACAAACCAGGAUGUCUUAAGAGCAGAAGUCUGUGGUUGCCAACUCUCAAGCCUCUUAGCUUAAUCCAGUCUAGGAUGCAUUUCCACUCUGCAACAAACAGUAUUUCUUUUUGCCUUAUUUGCAGAUAACAGUUUUAAUGCAGGUACUGCCCACAGAUUAGCUUUGAGCUAAUGUCUUUUUGCUUUGGUUUUUUGAUUUGUUUGGUUUGUUUUGAGACUGAGUCUCACUCUGUCGCCCAGGCCGGAGUGCAGUGGUGCGAUGUUAGCUCGCUGCAACCUCUGCCUCCUGGGUCAAGUGAGUCUCCUGCCUCAGCCUCCCAAGUAGCUGGGACUACAGGCAUGAGCCACCGUGCCUGGCCAAGCAGUAUCUUUUUGCUUUAAGUAACUUGCAUGUACAUUUGUUUUCCUUUUGAAUGUUUCUUUUUAGUUGCAAACUAAGAAACACUGAGCUCAGCAUUCAUAUAUUUGCAAACUCUGUGUUAAUUUCUCAGUUUGUUUCCUCAGAAAAAAUGCAAUUUCUUUUUUAAAUUUAAUUUUUCUUUAUAAAGUGAAGAGUAGAUAGCAUGAAUUCCUCUUGCCCUUUGCUAUUUCAGUCUGGCAUCAGUAGCAGUUGUUGCUGUGUCCAGUUUUCAUCCAUGGAUUUUUCUGGGAUUGAAGAUGUGUUGAGUUCAAUGUUGAUUAUUUAAUUGGGCAGUAUAAGUAAAUUCACUGGCUCUCCUUCCAGUUUAGUGAUUACUGAAUAUCAUCCAUGAUAUUUUAUAUUUCUUACACUUCUAGAAUGCUAGCCUGAAAAGAGAAGUUGUAAGUCAGGGACAGUAGUAUGCGCCUCUAGUCUCAGCUAGUUGGGAGGCUGAGGAUUGAGCCCAGGCCUUCAUGGCUGUAGUGCACAGUGACUGUACUUGUGAAUAGCCACUACACUCCAGCCUGGGUUGCAACAUAGCAAGACUCCCACCCCUUAAGAAAAAAGAGAAGAGAGAAAAAAAAUAGAAGUUAUGGAGAGGGAGGAGGAUACUUGAAUACGUUGACCAUACUUCGCAUAAUAGACAUUUUGAGGGCUUUUUGUUUUUCCUUAAAAUUCUUCUGGAUCAGUUUUCAUUGUUUCUAGUCAUUAUAUUUAUCAUUAAUGAAUUCAUAUUCUGCUCUAGCCCCUAAAGAUAGUUUGAUACGCUAACUUUUGUUUUGCCUUUCUAGCUGCUAAGAUAGAUAAUGGUUAUUGCAAAAUGCACGUUUUUAAAUGGUCUGCAAUGUGGAUUGCUUCUGAGCUGCUGAUGGAUUGAAUACAUUGAGAAGGAAUGUGUCAUUUGGAAUCCAGGACCAGUCAGCAAGGAUAACUGCCUGAUUUUAUGAUUUCGUGACUGAUGCUGAAAUGGAAGCCAACCACUGCAGAAAUUUGGGGGAAAAUGAGAUCUGAAGAAUGCAAGGGGAAGUAGGAAUUCAUUUCUAGCAUUUCCAAACCUGCUUUAUCGUGUCUGCUCCACCACAGUCAGAGGAAAAGACUGAGUUCAUGGAAAUUACCAGCUAAGCCUUACAUCUGUCUUUAAUGUUUUUAGGAAAUAUACUGAAAAGGUAAGUGAGAUGUCUGUCUUAAAGAAAGGCUCUUACUAGGUACCUUAAAACCAGUUGUUUCCUAUUAGUAAAGAUGGGCAGCUUCUUUAUUCCUAGCUUCACAAAGCCUUUCCCCUGUUCGGUGUGUUUCUCAGUAUUGUGGAGAAGGUAGUUUCUGAGCAGGGUGGUGCUUUUCCUCUGCUUCUCAGCAGCUAAGACAGAAAUUGCACUGAAGUGUACAAAGUGCCAAUUUUUGUUCUGUUGUACUCAAAUCCUUUUUUAAAAAAAAUUAUUUCAGUUGAGUCUUAGUUUUAUUCCUCACUAUAUAGGAAAAAAAUCUUUAAUGCCUCAAAGUUCUAGUCAGCAUUACAUUUGCAUUACUCUUAUUUGCAGCAAAUAUGAGUAAAAUUAUAAGGUUUUAAAGGUCUCUAAUAACAUCCACCUAUAUUGGUUUUGUAGAUAAUCCAUAAAUUACCAGAAAUGAAUUAUUCCACAUUUGUUAUACACCCACAUAAUAGGUGUAGUGCCAGGCCCUGGAAUAUACUAAUGGCAUCAUCUCAUGUGGUAAAAAGACACAUUCCGCCAUCCUGGAGCAUACAAAGGUAGACUAGCAUGUAGUUCAUGUGCUCAAGGAAUUCGUUUUUAUUGACAUGAUACAGACAGAAUUGUAGUUUAGGGAGUCAAAAUCUAAUAAAAUGAGACUAAUUCCAUUUUUCCAUUAAUACUAAUAACUAAUGUGUAAAUCUGAAUAGGACACAUUCUAUAUGAAAACUGUGUGUGCAUCUGCACUAAAUACUUUGUGUGUGCCAAGUACUGUUGUAAACUCUUUACAUAUAUUUUUUUAAUCCUCAGAACUGUUCUCUGAAAUAGGUACUAAUACUAAAGCUUAUUGUUUAAGGCAGGCAGAAAUUAAGUAACUUGGUCUAAGUUUGCAUAAUUAUGAUCUGGGAUCAAUAUUUGAACCCAUACAGGCUGAUUGCAGAGCCUGCACUCUUAAUUUGAGUGUGAUAUUUAUGUGCAGUACCUGGCUAUAAGUACCCACAAAACAUUUCAAAUUCUUUAUAAAAUUUGCUUAGUUAAGAAAAAGUACCAAUUGCAUAGUAUGGUUAUAAAUCUGGUAGUAGUUAGGCUUUUUACAAGACAUGCUGCUUACUGCACCAAGGAGGCAACAAGGCUUUGAGAGCCCAAAAUUCCCUUUCUUCAGCUCCUGCUUCCAAGACAGUCAUUUUGCAUGAUAAGCCUUUCUACAAAAACACAGACACAAAAUUUAAAGAACUGGAACAGAGGAAGCAGAGCUUAUAGUAGUAUAUAUAUUUAGUAUCCUGUCCCUUAGGUCCACCCCUCUUUCUUUGUUGAUUGUAGACAUUUUGUUUUAAAUGCUAAACCGUGAGAAUAUAUAACUGCUGAGACUUUUCCAAGGAUUUUUUAAAAAACAGAUUAGGCUUCGUGCAGAAGUAACGAAAAAGUGCUCUGAGAACCCCAGGUAGGUCAUUUACUUCUUAUUGUACACAUAGUUUGUUUGAAACCUCUUCACUUCUAUCCCUUAUUGUUUUAUACUCUGUAAAUCUGAUUUUACCUUUAAUAAACUUUUGUGAAGUGA